rnacentral:rRNA from 1 species
UACGUAGGGAGCGAGCGUUGUCCGGAUUUAUUGGGCGUAAAGAGCUCGUAGGCGGUUUGGUAAGUCGGGUGUGAAACCUCCAGGCUCAACCUGGAGCCGCCACUCGAUACUGCUAUGACUUGAGUCUGGUAGGGGACCACGGAAUUCCUGGUGUAGCGGUGAAAUGCGCAGAUAUCAGGAGGAACACCGGUGGCGAAGGCGGUGGUCUGGGCCAGUACUGACGCUGGAGGAGCGAAAGCGUGGGGAGCAAACAGG